AUCAAUAACUAUUGUGCGACUCUGACUGUCAAGCAAGACACGAUGUGGUGUUUUUAUACAUUUUAUGUAUUCUCUCAUCAAGGCUCAAUGUGUCCUUUCAUUGUAGAAUCGAGCUCAUUUUGGUGUAAACCAGUCCUCUGAAAGAGGAAACGCCUUCAUGGACAUGAAUUUAAGCAGAAGUUCCUCACCAGGAGGCCAGAAAAUACAGUAAGAUGACCCAUUGUCACUGAAUAAUGACUGAUUGAAGUGAAAACGCUUGCAAUACAAGGAAGUCAACCCUUUUCAACGUGCUUACAAAGAGUCAAGCUGCAACUGAGAAUUUCCCCUUCUGCACCAUUGACCCAAAUGAAAGCCGAGUGCCCAUUCCAGAUGAACGCUAUGAUUUCCUGUGCCAAUUCCACAAGCCUGUCAGCAAGGUGACCGGCCUUCCUGAACGUGGUGGACAUAGCAGGACUGGUGAAGGGAGCUCACGCUGGCCAGGGCCUGGGCAAUGCCUUCCUGUCCCACAUCAGUGCCGGCGAUGGCAUCUUCCACACGACACGUGAGUCCCACCUGCCAGGGUAUAGCGCACUGCAUAUCACUGUCUAAAACGGCAGGCUUUUCAUCUGUUUAGAAAUGUGUCCCAAUGUACAUGCACCGCCCAGAAUGAGCUAGUAAAGAGAACAAUUACUGGAAAAUGUGCUUCAUACUUUGCUGUAGAAUCUUGUUGAAAGCAGUUGGCAGAGCUUUUUACUGAGGCCUAUAUGGUUCUGUCUGCUGGGUUCCAAGACAAACACAAUAUUCAGGAAUAGAGCAGAUGAAGCCAGACCCAAAACUCACAUUCCUAUUGGGAGUUUCUCUCUGAAUUGGAAUCAGAGAAAAGUUAAUGAAAGGGCCUGUGCCUGGUUUGGUAGACUCACUGCACACUACUCUGAGGUUGGGAAAUACAACUAGACUCAGGGGGAAGUCUUUAGCGGCUUCCUGUAACCACAGAUUAUUGUAACCUGAUCCCCAAAUGACACCGUUUGAUUAUGGUUGGGCACAACAAACGUAAGUAGCCUGCAUGGCAAAAAUACAGUACGAUUAAAGAGAAACUGAACCUAAUAAGCAACUUCUACUUUUGUGGCGUCGAUAUGAGUCAGAAACAUUUUUAUUCUAGUGUCAAAAUUGACUACAAAGUGUAAAUAGGAUCAUUUUGGUCAUAAAGUUAGUCUGGUCCAAAAUGAAGAUUUGCGAGAUAAUUAGGAAAAAAUAGUAUGUCAUGGAAUGAAAUGUACCGUAACAGUUUUCCUCGGGUUAGAUUUAUUUCAAUCCAGCCCACAACUGGCAGCACCCAAGUAAUCAUCCAUUGAGACCGCAGCUGCAUGCAUCCAGAUCUUAAUGCCCAUGGUCAAUUUGGUUUGACAUUCGAUAUCCCUAUGGGGCUAGUUAGGCACC